rnacentral:rRNA from 1 species
CCUACGGGUGGCAGCAGUGGGGAAUAUUGGGCAAUGGAGGCAACUCUGACCCAGCAAUGCCGCGUGAGUGAUGAAGGUAAUUUUAUUGUAAAGCUCUUUUCUUUGGAACGAAUAAAUGACGGUACCAAAGGCAUAAGCCCCGGCUGAAUAAGUGCCAGCCUCAGGGGUAAUAAGCAGGGGGCAAGCGUUGUUCGGGAUGACUGGGCGUAAAGGGUGUGGAGGUGGGUGGAUAAGUUAGAUGUGUAAUACCCAGGGCUUAACUUGGGUGCUGCAUCUAAAACUGUUAGACUUGAGUACUGGGGAGGAUAGUGGAAUUCCUAGUGUAGCGGUGGAAUGCGUAGAUAUUAGGAGGAACAUCAGUGGCGAAGGCGACUAUCUGGACAGCAACUGACACUGAGGCACGAAAGCGUGGGGAGCAAACAGGAUUAGAUACCCCAGUAGUC